rnacentral:rRNA from 1 species
AGAGUUUGAUCCUGGCUCAGGAUGAACGCUGGCGGCGUGCCUAAUACAUGCAAGUCGAGCGAACAGACGAGGAGCUUGCUCCUUUGACGUUAGCGGCGGACGGGUGAGUAACACGUGGGUAACCUACCUAUAAGACUGGGAUAACUUCGGGAAACCGGAGCUAAUACCGGAUAAUAUUUUGAACCGCAUGGUUCAAAAGUGAGAGACGGUCUUGCUGUCACUUAUAGAUGGAUCCGCGCUGCAUUAGCUAGUUGGUAAGGUAACGGCUUACCAAGGCAACGAUGCAUAGCCGACCUGAGAGGGUGAUCGGCCACACUGGAACUGAGACACGGUCCAGACUCCUACGGGAGGCAGCAGUAGGGAAUCUUCCGCAAUGGGCGAAAGCCUGACGGAGCAACGCCGCGUGAGUGAUGAAAGUCUUCGGAUCGUAAAACUCUGUUAUUAGGGAAGAACAUAUGUGUAAGUAACUGUGCACAUCUUGACGGUACCUAAUCAGAAAGCCACGGCUAACUACGUGCCAGCAGCCGCGGUAAUACGUAGGUGGCAAGCGUUAUCCGGAAUUAUUGGGCGUAAAGCGCGCGUAGGCGGUUUUUUAAGUCUGAUGUGAAAGCCCACGGCUCAACCGUGGAGGGUCAUUGGAAACUGGAAAACUUGAGUGCAGAAGAGGAAAGUGGAAUUCCAUGUGUAGCGGUGAAAUGCGCAGAGAUAUGGAGGAACACCAGUGGCGAAGGCGACUUUCUGGUCUGUAACUGACGCUGAUGUGCGAAAGCGUGGGGAUCAAACAGGAUUAGAUACCCUGGUAGUCC